rnacentral:lncRNA from 1 species
UAGUAGAGUUCUUGUGCCAAAAACUAUCCCACCAAUCGGGCUCGUUAACUCUGCGUUCCACUGGAACCACGGAAACGCUUUUGUUUUUCUUCAAUUUCUUGGACGAUUUCUUCGUUUUCUUGGAUUUUUUGAGCGGAGCCAUCGGUUUUUCUUUGGCUAAAUUGUGUACUGAAGUUAACAAUGACUGGGUUUCACUGUUUCAACUGACGUUUGG